UUUUCCCCAUUUUUUUAAGGCAUUUCUGAAAUUUCAAGGUACUUCUAUAUUUUUCUCUUCAUUUUUCUUUAUUAGUUCUUAUUUUCACAUAAUAUCACGGAUUAAAGAAAAUGAGGGAGAUUUUUAAUUCAUCUUUGUGAAAUCGUUAAUUAUGUUAUAAAUUUGAUAAAAUUGAUAUUUAUUCUAUGAAUGUAUAAUUUUUUUUAUUUCUGUGAACACAUGGGAUUGCACUAAGCAAAGGACCCUCCAAAAAAAGAUAGGAGAGGGUUAUUUGUAUGUUCGACGAGUCUGGAAAAAUUUUAACUUGGAGGUUAGCUUUUUCAUCCUUACGAUUUAAUUCUUUUCAAUUGUAAAAAUUCUUGUUCUUUCUUUUUUUUGUUUUUUCAUCCAGUUUUUGGUGUCUGUAUUGGAGCCCUGACUAAUCUGGAUCGCGCGUUGCAGGGCCCAUUAAGGUGACAACGCUUCCAACAGAGUUUUCUCCAUACCCAGAAUCGAACCCUCAACCUCUGGUUAACGGUGGAGCAGCCCCAUCCACUCCACUACAACCCGUGUUGGUUCUUGUUCUUUCUUUGAUAUAUGAGAUUUUUUAUCUCAAAUUUCAGUUUAUCCUAUUAUGAGUUUGAGUUUGUUCUGUGAUAUUUGUUUAAUCUUGAGACAAAAUCAAAUCACUUUUUGCCUUAAUUAAUUAAUCAAAUAGAACAACUAAAUUUGCAACCCCCAAAAAAUAUCUAUUAGCAAAUACUUUAUUCUACACUUAUUUAUUCGUCAUUAAAAAAUUAUAGUGUAGUUAGGUAAAAAUAUUUUUACACACACAUACAUAUUGACACUUCUUGAUUUUUUUGUGAAUUUAUUUAUUUAUAUUUUGACGCUCCUAGAUGAAAAUUUUAACUUCGCCGCUGCUUGAAUUGUGAUUGAUGCCGAUCUUCCAAGCUCCC
rnacentral:lncRNA from 1 species